rnacentral:rRNA from 1 species
GCAUAUUCGUGUAGAGGCGCAUGGUGGAUGCCUUGGGAUAUCAGGGCGAUGAAGGACGUGGCGUGACUGCGAUAAGCUUCGGGUAGCUGUCUAGCAAGCGUUGAUCCGGAGAUUUCCGAAUGGGGCAACCCAUCCCGAGUUAUGUCGGGAUACUCUCCGCCUUUGGCGGAGGGAGUAAACCUGGU